rnacentral:miRNA from 1 species
UGCGUGCGUGCGUGUGUGUGCGUGUGUGUGUGUGUGUGUGUGUGUGUGUGUGGCGUGCACAGGCUGCAGGCACACACAGCCCCA